UGUGCCGUGUUUUACAGAUGUAGUCCAGACAAUAUGAGGAUCUUGACAAUAGCCUUAUUGUGCCAAGAGAGAAGUGGGCGUUCAAUGUCUCUAUUAACACCCAUUGUAAGUGGUCGUAACUGCAUUACAUCAGCAAAACUCUCUAAGAGAAAGGGGAGUAUGAUGCAAUGAAGCGAACGUGCUUCAGAAUGCUGUUGGACGUAUAUCCGCAAGGUUACUUUUUCGCUGGACUCCUGCAUAACAUCAUGAUUCGUCGAAUCAGUGAAAGAGAUUCAAUUGAGCAUAAGCUAUGAUUUUCCAUUGGCAAGAGCAAGGCACGUAGAUCGAAGUAGGAGUUUUUCUUUAUCACGGGACUAAAGUUCGAUCGAAUGCCCGAUGUAUUCAGUCGACCGUACAAGGUUGGUGCGGACAAAAUUCAUGUGAGAUACUAGAAUGGGCAGGAGAGCAUUAAGCUGCAGUGGUUGCUUCAAACGUUCUGCGAUGGCAACUUUUAGUGACCAGGAGAUGCAACCAAGAUGGCACUAAUCUUGAUCCCGAAAAACAUUUUAUUUGGUCAAGACUAUUGUAGACGGGUGACGCCUUGGCUGUUCUCAUUGGUGGAGGACAUCGAUGCUUGGAAUGUCUUCCUAUGGGGUCACUAUGUUUGGAGGCUGAAGUUGGAUUACCUUUUGAAGGGGUUCGAAGUCCUUGCCACAAACUCUCAAAAGGAUACUCGUUUAUGGUACAACAUUUACAAAUUUGUGUGGGUGAUUCAAGUAUUGUCACAUAACAUUUAACAUUUUCCUUUUGACAUAAUAAUAUGGUUGUACUCGUUUAGCAUUUACGGUUUGAUAAUGGUUACUUUUGACAUGCAAUUCUGGGCAAUGGAGGCAAUCCCGGCCUUGCAACAAAUAGUUACCCCAUCUGCUCUGAAGGACAACGUCUACCCACGUAUGUGCAAAUAACAGUGCAAUCAGAAGCUAAAAGACUUCUACAAGACAGUUCAGAAGUUGAAGUCAUCUGAGCAUGUGAGUGAACAACUACUAAUUUUUGCUAUGAAUUUGUAAACUAAUUUUUUAUAAAAUUUAAUCAAAAAUCGUAUUUUACUGUUUUGGGCUGUCGAGACAUUGGAGCAGACCCCGGAGGAGGUCAGACGGGACUAUUUUGUUGACAUCGAUAUGCCAUUAUUUGAGGGCCACCAAUACUUGUCAAUCGGGCAGUUGGAUGAUCGAACGGAAUGUGGCUUAAGUGUGAAGGAAAAUAGAAGGAACUUGAGGUAGAAAAGAGCUACUAGUGCCAUGACGCGAAGGCGAACCGCCAUGCUGAAGUUGAUGAGCUGUCGCGCAUCGAGUUGAUAGAAGAAAGGGAUGACCAUGGCAAUGGUAGUGAAUAGCCAUUGGACGAUGCAACGAUAGCCCCACAACCACUGAAAGUUCCUCCUCAUAUGCAUAGUGGUAACGAGCUGUCGAGGUGACGACAGCUCUUGAAUGACCGAGCGGUACAGCUCAACUGUACAGUCUGAACUAGCCUCCGUUAACCCAUGCGAGAAGAGUCAAUGACAGAGUAAUCACGAUACGUGAGCUGUGACGGGUCAUGCGCAAGCAUGAAAAAGAGAUGUUGGAGCUAAAGGAGUCAAUUCAGUCAUUGACUCUCGCAAUACAGACGAUAGAGGAUCGUAUCGUUCGUCGAAUUCUAGAUGGCUUGAAAUUACAAGUGGUGCUUCAUCUAACGUUGAUGGUGAUGACCACGGUGGUGCUGAUGAUCAACAGCAUGAUGAACCUGGUGUUCACAUGCACCAUGACAUUGUUGUUGAUGAUAGAGAGAAUGUUGCUGCGAUCGAUUCGAAUAUUGAUGCAUCUACAGGAUGAGAGGGGGACCAUCACUCAGUUGUGGCUGAAGGGGACCAUCUUCCUAAAGUUGAUGUAGCAGUCGAGGCAAUAGUUGAAGGGGAUGGGAACCUUGCAUUAGUUGAGGCUGAAGGGGACCGUUUUCAUCACAUGACUCAUGAAGGCAGCACCUCACGAGUGUCGUCACUAGAUGUGUCUAGUGUCAAUCAUCGGGUAGCACUGAUUUCAGACCCAACUAAACAAGCACAGGUGAGAAUGGCCAGCAAAUACAUGGCAAGCCCGUAUGUGGACCCGCCAGUGAGCCGGCGGGAUGUUAAGACGUCAAUGGUGGAAGGGUACGAAGCUUUUAAGAGAAACGAGUGUGUGAGGCGUAACGUCGGAAUCAUGGGGGAUCAAUGGGCUGAUAUUUUUAGAACAUUAGAGGACCCUAAAGAGGAAAUGACAACUGAACAAAUAGAUGCAUGCCUCAGUGUACUUUGUAAGCGGAUGACAGGACCAAAGUCAAGACUAUACAGCACCCAUCCAUAGCUCGUUGAUAUGAUAUUCUUCAUAAGUUUAUU